AUUUCUAAGGACCAUGAACGAGCUUACUUUGAUUCUGCCGAUUGGGCACUUGGAAAGCAAGGUGUUGAGAAACCUAAAGGUCCUCUUGAAGCUUUACGGCCAAAAUUACAGCCUACACAACAGCAGACACGAUACCGAAAGUCUCCUUAUGCCCCACCCCCACCAGAUGGUGAAGAUACAGGAAGCUCGCCAUCAGAGGAUGCACCUGCAAAUGAAUG
rnacentral:misc_RNA from 1 species